CACUUGCAGGAGAAUGCUACAGACAUGCUGAAGCUUGCCUACACUGGGGAGGGCAGUUUGAGCAAACCUGUGGUGUCAGACCACAGUGCCCUCAGCUGGAUGAGGAUUGACGCUGCUGAUGUUCAAACUCAAACAGAAGUACAAAGUGGGAGCUUGAAUUUCAGAGACAUGUGUGAGGGAGGAGACUGGGAGGGCGUGACAUGUAUGUGGGGUAAGAGUGUAGCCAUUCAGACAGAGGGUGAGACUGGAGGGUUGGGAUUUGGAAAUCCUGCGGCUUCUGGUGGCAGUAGGGAAGUAUGUCAUACCAGCGUACAGACCGAGGCUCUAGAGAUCCAGGAGCUCCAUGAUUCAGUAGCAGGUAAAGAAGUGGACAUGGAAAGCACAGAUUCACUGCCGCUGUCACCCACGGGAGUGCUAGAAGGUGGGGCCGGGCUCCUGUUCUCCAGGUCCGUCCCCAUCCCUGCUGACCCAGCCCGUCUGGCUCAAAGGAUCCGGCAGAACCGGAACCGUAUGUCAGCCGCCUUCGACGACACAGAGUACGAACCCUAUGGGCUGCCCGAGGUUGUUAUGAAAGGAUUUGCGGACAUUCCCAGUGGCCCUGCAUGUCCCUAUGUCCUGAGGAGGGGCCUCUUGGGUAUGCACACCCUGCCUCUCUCUCUGAGAAAGCAGGCCGAGGAUGAGGGGGACAACCCUGACCCCAACCUCUGACCCUUGACAUACAGGGAAGACGCUUAGGGAUCGAUGGAAGGAUGCGACUCACCCCUUUACUGCAUGCACACCCUAUGAACAUGAGACUCAGGACCUCUGAUCGGAUUGCUAAUGGCUUCCCCUUCCUUGGACCCUCAUUCACAAGAAGGGAAUUAUAUUUACUCUCAUGGCCUAAUAGUUUUUGUUUCACUAUGGCAAGCAUAUGUAAAUAUGUAAAGGACAUGUGACUGCUAUGCUUGGUAUGUCCAACUAAAGACUGCCCUGGGGUCUGUUGUCUUGAAUUUUCAGUGAGGGAACAUUAAACACAAUCUGACCCAUCAAUACAACAGUAUUAGGGUGAGUUAGUGACUUUUUUAUAGAAAUAACCUUGUAAAGUAUGCUUAAAGUCAUACAAUUUAAGGUAUUUAAUGUAAUUUAUGUAGCGCAGGAGAUGGUUCACUAAACUUUAGUUACCCCAUGGUUAUAUAUGUGUGAAAGUAUGAUUAGAACUGAUGCAUAGAGCAUUUACAGAAUCUGCACUACGGUGUGACCUUACUUUAAUUUCAGAAUGUGUGCAGACGUGUGUGUGUGUGAGAGAGAGA